rnacentral:rRNA from 1 species
AUUGAACGCUGGCGGCAUGCUUUACACAUGCAAGUCGAACGGUAACAGGCCUUCGGGCGCUGACGAGUGGCGAACGGGUGAGUAAUGCAUCGGAACGUGCCCAGUCGUGGGGGAUAACGCAGCGAAAGCUGUGCUAAUACCGCAUACGAUCUGCGGAUGAAAGCGGGGGACCUUUGGGCCUCGCGCGAUUGGAGCGGCCGAUGUCAGAUUAGGUAGUUGGUGGGGUAAAGGCUCACCAAGCCAACGAGCUGUAGCUGGUCUGAGAGGGCGACCAGCCACACUGGGGCUGGGAAACGGCGCAGACUCCUACGGGAGGCAGCAGUGGGGAAUUUUGGACAAUGGGCGCAAGCCUGAGCCAGCAAUGCCGCGUGCAGGAAGAAGGCCUUCGGGUUGUAAACUGCUUUUGUACGGAGCGAAAAGGCUCCCUCUAAUACAGGGGGCUCAUGACGGUACCGUAAGAAUAAGCACCGGCUAACUACGUGCCAGCCGCCGCGGUAACAC